AUUGAACGCUGGCGGCAUGCUUUACACUUGCAAGUCGAACGGCAGCGCGGGCUUCGGCCUGGCGGCGAGUGGCGAACGGGUGAGUAAUGCAUCGGAACGUGCCCAGUAGUGGGGGAUAGCCCGGCGAAAGCCGGAUUAAUACCGCAUACGACCUGAGGGUGAAAGCGGGGGACCGAAAGGCCUCGCGCUAUUGGAGCGGCCGAUGUCGGAUUAGCUAGUUGGUGGGGUAAAGGCUUACCAAGGCGACGAUCCGUAGCUGGUCUGAGAGGACGACCAGCCACACUGGGACUGAGACACGGCCCAGACUCCUACGGGAGGCAGCAGCGGGGAAUUUUGGACAAUGGGGGCAACCCUGAUCCAGCCAUGCCGCGUGCGGGAAGAAGGCCUUCGGGUUGUAAACCGCUUUUGUUCGGGAAGAAAUCCUCUGGGCUAAUACCCCGGGGGGAUGACGGUACCGGAAGAAUAAGCACCGGCUAACUACGUG
rnacentral:rRNA from 1 species